rnacentral:rRNA from 1 species
ACGAACGCUGGCGGCGUGCUUAACACCUUCCAGUCGCACGGAAAGGCCCUGCUUUUGUGGGGUGCUCGAGUGGCGAACGGGUGAGUAACACGUGAGUAACCUGCCCUUGACUUUGGGAUAACUUCAGGAAACUGGGGCUAAUACCGGAUAGGAGCUCCUGCUGCAUGGUGGGGGUUGGAAAGUUUCGGCGGUUGGGGAUGGACUCGCGGCUUAUCAGCUUGUUGGUGGGGUAGUGGCUUACCAAGGCUUUGACGGGUAGCCGGCCUGAGAGGGUGACCGGCCACAUUGGGACUGAGAUACGGCCCAGACUCCUACGGGAGGCAGCAGUGGGGAAUAUUGCACAAUGGGCGGAAGCCUGAUGCAGCAACGCCGCGUGCGGGAUGACGGCCUUCGGGUUGUAAACCGCUUUCGCCUGUGACGAAGCGUGAGUGACGGUAAUGGGUAAAGAAGCACCAGCUAACUACGUG